CCUACGGGUGGCUGCAGUGAGGAAUAUUGGGCAAUGGACGGAAGUCUGAACCAGCCAUGCCGCGUGAAGGAAGAAGGCUCUAUGAGUGGUAAACUGCUUUUGUAGAAGGGUAAACCAGAAUACGUGUAUUCAGCUGCACGUACUGUACGAAUAAGGAUCGGCUAACUCCGUGCCAGCAGCCGAGGUAAUACGGAGGGUCCAAGCGUUAUCCGGAUUUAUUGGGUUUAAAGGGUGCGUAGGCGGGUUGCUAAGUUAGCGGUGAAAUGUCCGUGCUUAACUCGGGAACUGCCUCUAAUACGGUUGGUCUAGAGUGUAGGUGCGGUAGGCGGAAU
rnacentral:rRNA from 1 species